CUUAAUCGCCAGCCACAAAAAAGCCCGGGGCCGUUCACUGAAGAACGACCCCGGGCUUUUUUGUGGCUGGAUGCUUAGA
rnacentral:miRNA from 1 species